AACGAACGCUGGCGGCAUGCCUAACACAUGCAAGUCGAACGAGACCUUCGGGUCUAGUGGCGCACGGGUGCGUAACGCGUGGGAACCUGCCCUUAGGUUCGGAAUAACUCCCCGAAAGGGGUGCUAAUACCGGAUAAUGUCUUCGGACCAAAGAUUUAUCGCCUUUGGAUGGGCCCGCGUUGGAUUAGCUAGUUGGUAGGGUAAAAGCCUACCAAGGCGACGAUCCAUAGCUGGUCUGAGAGGAUGAUCAGCCACACUGGGACUGAGACACGGCCCAGACUCCUACGGGAGGCAGAAGUGGGGAAUAUUGGAAAAGGGGCGAAAGCCUGAUCCAGCAAUGCCGCGUGAGUGAUGAAGGCCUUAGGGUUGUAAAGCUCUUUUACCCGGGAUGAUAAUGACAGUACCGGGAGAAUAAGCUCCGGCUAACUCCGUG
rnacentral:rRNA from 1 species